rnacentral:tRNA from 1 species
UGUGGUUGGUUCAGUGGUAGAGUGCUCGCCUCGCAUGUGUGCGGUCCUGGGUUCGAUCCUCAGCACCACAU